GAUGAACGCUGGCGGCGUGCCUAAUACAUGCAAGUCGAGCGAACGGACGAGAAGCUUGCUUCUCUGAUGUUAGCGGCGGACGGGUGAGUAACACGUGGAUAACCUACCUAUAAGACUGGGAUAACUUCGGGAAACCGUAGUUAAUACCGGAUAAUAUUUUGAACCGCAUGGUUCAAAAGUGAAAGACGGUCUUGCUGUCACUUAUAGAUGGAUCCGCGCUGCAUUAUCUAGUUGGUAAGGUAACGGCUUACCAAGGCAACGAUGCAUAGCCGACCUGAGAGGGUGAUCGGCCACACUGGAACUGAGACACGGUCCAGACUCCUACGGGAGGCAGCAGUAGGGAAUCUUCCGCAAUGGGCGAAAGCCUGACGGAGCAACGCCGCGUGAGUGAUGAAGGUCUUCGGAUCGUAAAACUCUGUUAUUAGGGAAGAACAUAUGUGUAAGUAACUGUGCACAUCUUGACGGUACCUAAUCAGAAAGCCACGGCUAACUACGUG
rnacentral:rRNA from 1 species